rnacentral:lncRNA from 1 species
AAGCAAGACAAACACAUCUUGCAUCUGUACCUUGAAACAGCCUCAAUUCCAGGUGGUUGAAAGGCCUCCCCGGGGCACCUGAAAUUCAGGUGGGGCCGCAGCCUGUUUCAGGUGCAGCCCGCCUGUAAUUCCGCUGCUGUCCUCUCUGCUGCCGGGCCCUCGGAACAGUGAGGGGCAGGCUGGGGCUCCGACGUGCCUUCAGCCUUGGCUUCGCCGAGCUCGCAGCUGGGGGACUUCACAUGUCCACAUCCGUUUCCCAAAGAGCAUUUUCCUCCUGGACCAAAGGGGAAAAUCCAAACUUCCUCUGGUUUUCCUCCUGAACUCCUGUGCUACAGACCGCGUGUGGAGCCUGCCCUUUGGGGAACAGCGCACCAGCCCGCCCAGGGCCAGGUGCGGGGCUCCGGGGGCCCUGCCAGCACUGCUCGCAGCCACCUGUAGUGCUCAUGUCUCUCAAGGCACGUUGGCGCUUCCACGACAAGCUUUUCUUGUCACUGAUUCAUAACAUUAGGACAAAUAAUCAUCUGGCCUUCAUCCUGGCAGGAAGAAAAAGCAGAACCUAGUUAACAAGAAGGGAAGGUGUGCGAGUAGUCAGGUAUUAGCUCGUUAUUUUCUGAUGAGGAGAACCAGGUGCCCCAUCGCAACACUUUCACUAACCCCACCAUGUGAGAACUCCUCAGUGGAAAAUGGACAUGAGUCAGAAAGGAGGGUAAAGGGCAGCACCCAAAAGGUGAAGGGGGCUCCAAAACAAAGAUUUCUUUGGUGUUUUAUUUGAGUUCCUUUCUGCCAAGAAAUGAAGAAAGCUGUAUAACACCUUACACAAUGUUUCCCGUUUUCUUAAUUCUUCCAAAAUUCUUUUAUUUAAAGUUCAGUUUUAAAAAUUGGCAAAUCAAAUAAGAAGGAAGUCCAUUUCCUUAUGGCACAGCUUACCAAGAGACCCAGGAUGAAACCCAGAAUGUUCACUCCCAGCACUCUAGGGGGAAAAUUUACAAGAUUUAUGCAAAACUUCAAAGAAAGCCCCUCCCUGAGCAGCUCCCCGUGCGUGGGCGUUUCCUUCAUCCCACCACCCCCAGCGAGGGUUUAUGUGAGCAUAAUUGGGCUUUGUCUCUAAGUUGGCUCACCUCACCACACUCUGGUCUGAGAGCCCCUGGCCUGAAGCCCAGGGCGGGGCUGUGCCCUCAGUACUGUAAAUAAUGAUUAACUGGUUUGAGUUGGAGACCUGAACAUCUGGACAGAUGCCUUCAACCCAGCACGGACUCAUUUCAAAGGUCAUGUCAAAGCCAAAGACACAGAGUGGGAAGCUUCUUGGGCAUGUGUGAUCAUUGGAAAUUUACUAAGCCUCUGAAAGGAAGUGUCAGAGUUGUCUGCAUGUCAUUUUUUCCAUUCAGAACUCAAAGCAUUGCUCCACGGCUCUGCAGGUUAUUGAGGUCAUGCUCUGCACUCAUAUUAUGGUGCAUUCCAGGCAUUUCAGUUAUCAACAGUGUUCAUCUAGGAGGCUUCCUGGCCUAAGAGGAGGUGACUUAUAAUGCACCUACCAGAACAUGAAGCCCUCUGACCCACAAUACUGUCACGCCAUUAACAAUCUCUGUUGCUUGGCUCAAGACCCUGCUGAGGAUGUAGAGAACCAAGGGGUCCACCCCAGGGCUCUGAAGCCUUCCCCUGAAGUCUAACUUGUCAUCAGCAGUAACAAACGUCCCUCCACACUAGGAGGUAAUGCCCCUUUGCUCUUGGCCUCUUUCCAAAUGGUCAGCAAUUUGCAGGUUCUGAGAGCUGUUCCUGCCUGGCUUGUGAUGCUUGCCCGUUGUUUGUAAGGAAUUGCCCUCGUCCCUGUGUGAGCUCUCAGUUCAUGCCCCACGAAAGUUCCAAAGAUGGCUAGGGUGCACUAUGUGGAUGGCCUGUCUGGACUCUACACAAAUUCAGCCCUCCAGGGGAUUCCCCAAGGCCCAUGUCCUUGUGCACUACUGUGAAAAGUCACCCCACGUGAGAUCCAGUGGGAGUCACCGAGGGGAACACACAAACCAGCACAGAGCCAGUGAGGCCAGUGUGCCCCGUGCGCCAUCUUCAGAAGUGUUAAACUGGGCUCCAUGAGAGCCUCUCUUCUCUCUGCUGCUCACCCUCCAAAACAACUUGUUUGACGGCCAUGGAAAAAGGCCAAGGGCAAACAGGCAUCGCUCCUCUAGGUCUGGUCCUUCAGGACUGAACACCCGGAGCACCCGCGCCUGGUGUCACUCCCGUUCUCCCAUUCGCCGUCUCUCUCUGGGCGGCUGUUGAGACGGAAGGAGUGGCUAAGGCUGGCAGCAAAGCCUGAGAGGCCUGGUGAUAAUUUGUCAAAACUUUC